GGCGGCAGGCAUUGACAUAGAGUAAAUCUCUGGCUGCGGAAAUCUUCAACAUGUGCGCUUUAAACAGUGAAUGCCAGUCUCAUAAUUGCUGUAAUUCUGCUAAAAGGCAAUGCAGCAGAGGAAUGAUAAUUGAAUAGAGGCAUUAAUUGCGCUGUGGUUUGUUUGCCAUCGCACCACCCACAGAGAAAGAGGACGAAACAACAACCGAUAGAACAAUAUACUUUCAAA